CUCUAUGCCUAUACCACCCUGAACACACUGGAUCUCUUCUGAUUUUGGGAGCUAUGCAGGGUUGGCCAUGGUCAGUAGUUGAAGGGGAGAGU
ensembl:rRNA predicted gene, 24876